AUCCUAAAACGCCUGGAAGCCAAAGGGAAAAGUCCUAAUGGGACCUGGGUGUUCCCUGAGGGGUCCAAAGGGGAUCUCCUGGAGUCAGAGUGGCCAAGUUCCCUGAAGUUAAACAGUUGACACAGACAAAUAUCAACAGACACUCCCGGAAACAUGAAACCAACAGUCAACUAACCAACCGACGACAACAACAAAAAAACGGUCUUUUCAACAGAUGAAGAAUCUGAGCUUCAGGAAGAUUAAGUGACCUGCCUAAAAUCACAAAGCUUGUAAAAGGGCAGAAUUGGGAUAUUAAACAGAUUGAACCGGAUUCAUUAUUUCCUUAGUGCCCCACCUCUGAUCCAGCUUCCAUUCCCUUGCACCCUCCUGGCAUGGCACUGGCAUCCUUCCUGGCACCUGUGCAUUGUGGUGACACCAUUUGUGGGAUGUUGCAAAUGCACACCUAUCCAUCACAAUAUAGUCCACUGACUAAGGAGAGAUCUGGGGAAAUGUGUCCCAAUAUGUUUAAACUGCUUACAGCACUGUUGCUUUUAUCUUCUUUAUUCUUUUCAAAGUUUUUUUAUUAAUGUAUUUUAUUUCUUGAAUCAGAAGACUAUUUUCAUAAUAGGUAAGGUCCAUCUUUUGCUCCCAAAGGGUUCAGCCCAUUCAUUCUGCCUGAGGUGUCCACCGGUCUAGCAAACACCUGAGUGUCUUGUGAACCUCAGCUCAAGGACUGGAUCUCUGUGAUGUCUUUUCAAAUACUCUGCCCUCUUAGUACUCUAUUGUCUCCACCAUGGCACUUGUGAUGUUUAUCACACUUAUUUAUCUGUAUCCCCCACUGCGUCCCCAGAUCUGAACUGGGGCUCAAUCAGAUUCAUAAGUUUCUGCAGGACCUGGCAUAAGCUGUGGAUCCAUGUAACAGCUAAUGCUAAUUGAGCACUUACUAUGUUCUAGGUGCUUUACUAUGUGCUAAGCAUUUUGCCUAUAUUAAUUCUUUUUUUUAAGAUUUUAUUUAUUUACUAGAGAGAGAGAGAAGCAGAGACACAGGCAGAGGGAGAAGCAGGCUCCAUGCAGGUAGCCCGACGUGAGACUCUAUCCGGGGACUCCAGAUCAGGCCCUGGGCUGCAGGUGCCGCUAAACCGCUGAGCCACUGGGGUCGCCCUAUAUUAAUUCAUUUAAUCUCACAAUUGUCCCGUGAGGUGGGUUUACUAUUAUUUUCAUCCAUUUUACAGAUGAGGAAAUUUAUGCAGAGAUAACUUGCUUAGGUCAUGUAGCUAGUAAACAACCAGACCUGGGGCUUGUACCCAGGCUGUCUGACUUAAGUCUGUGACCUUAAACAUUAUGCCACAUUGAAAAGACACUUGGGAAAGUUUUGCUGAAUGAAAAAACCUGGAAUUUCUUCAAAGUGUCAUUCAAUCUGAAAAGUUCUUUGGCUGAUCUCAAAGGCAGGGAUUUAAAUCAAUAUCCCGGGCACCUGGGUGGCUCAGUGGUUGAGCACCUGCCUUUGGCUCAGGGCGUAAUCCCAGGGUUUCAGGAUCGAGUCCCACAUCAGGCUCCCUGGAGGGAGCCUGCUUCUCCCUCUGCCUGUGUCUCUGCCUCUCUUUGUGUCUCUCAUGAAUAAAUAAAUAAAAUCUUUAAUAAAUAAACAAAAUACCCCAGCCUGCCAUGUGGAUCUAGUGGUCACCUAGGCAGUUUACUCAGAAAAACCUGAACUUAAACCAUUGGUCUCACUGAGUUCACCUCUAUUCAUUCACUGGACCACAUGGGCCUCAAUCUAUAAGGAGACAAAGGGUGUGUGAAUGUGGAAGAGGGGUUGUGAUGGUCUGACUUUCCUGGCUCUAGGACUGCAGGAACAAUCCUGAAUUUCCCCCUGAUGGGUCUCCUCCCCCUGUCUAGAGUGGAUCUGAGACAGAGUGGGUCCUAGGAUCUCAACCGAGCAUGCAAUUUAGCUCUGAGUUUCCCAAGGCCCUAGGCAAACAGAGGAAAAAGAUUGGUGUGUAACACUCCACGUGAGCUAUCAUUAAGUCUGUGAACAGUUACUAAUCACCCAGGCUCUGCCAAUCACUGUGCCCACUCCCAAGAAAACAAAAA
rnacentral:lncRNA from 1 species